CCUACGGGGUGCUGCAGUGGGGAAUAUUGGACAAUGGGCGAAAGCCUGAUCCAGCCAUGCCGCGUGUAUGAAGAAGGCCUUCGGGUUGUAAAGCACUUUCAGUGGGGAAGAAAGCCUUGGGGCUAAUACCCUCGAGGAAGGACAUCACCCACAGAAGAAGCACCGGCUAACUCCGUGCCAGCAGCCGCGGUAAUACGGAGGGUGCGAGCGUUAAUCGGAAUUACUGGGCGUAAAGCGCGCGUAGGCGGUCUGAUAAGCCGGUUGUGAAAGCCCCGGGCUCAACCUGGGAACGGCAUCCGGAACUGUCAGGCUAGAGUGCAGGAGAGGAAGGUAGAAUUCCCGGUGUAGCGGUGAAAUGCGUAGAGAUCGGGAGGAAUACCAGUGGCGAAGGCGGCCUUCUGGACUGACACUGACGCUGAGGUGCGAAAGCGUGGGUAGCAAACAGGAUUAGAUACCCUAGUAGUC
rnacentral:rRNA from 1 species